rnacentral:tRNA from 1 species
UGGGCCGUAGCUCAGUGGUAGAGUGCUUGCCUAACAUGUGAGACACUGGGUUUGAUCCUCAGCACCACAU